rnacentral:rRNA from 1 species
GACGAACGCUGGCGGCGUGCCUAAUACAUGCAAGUUGAGCGCUGAAGGUUGGUACUUGUACCGACUGGAUGAGCAGCGAACGGGUGAGUAACGCGUGGGGAAUCUGCCUUUGAGCGGGGGACAACAUUUGGAAACGAAUGCUAAUACCGCAUAACAACUUUAAACACAAGUUUUAAGUUUGAAAGAUGCAAUUGCAUCACUCAAAGAUGAUCCCGCGUUGUAUUAGCUAGUUGGUGAGGUAAAGGCAGACCAAGGCGAUGAUACAUAGCCGAACUGAGAGGGGGAUCGGCCACAUUGGGACUGAGACACGGCCCAAACUCCUACGGGAGGCAGCAGUAGGGAAUCUUCGGCAAUGGACGAAAGUCUGAACGAGCAACGCCGCGUGAGUGAAGAAGGUUUUCGGAUCGUAAAACUAUGUUGGUAGAGAAGAACGUUGGUGAGAGUGGAAAGCUCAUCAAGUGACGGUAACUACCCAGAAAGGGACGGCUAACUACGUGCCAGCCGCCGCUGUAA